GCUCAACAGUGCAGAUAUCAGGAUUAGCAGUCACUAUUUGUUUUUCAGCAGGCAAUGAUUUGUUCUGUUUCAGCUCCAUGUCUCCGAUUGCUCUUGACAUAUUUAGAGUCCCGUUGACCCGUCCACACCGAACAUAUCCACCGGCAUUUCUAAUCCUUUCCUUUUCAGCUUGAAGGUCAGGCUUAUGGUCACUAGACAUAUCAUAUGCCUGACCCUUCCGAGAUAACACACAGCGAGAAUCACCAGCGUUUGCUACAAGAAGUUGGACAUUCUGAAUGAUUGCUAUACAAGCUGUGCUUCCUGCAGAUGGCCCACGGUAAUCAGAGUUGGCCCCCUCCUCUGAAGACCCACCAUCUGUUUGCCCCUUGGAUUCACCAUAUUUGGGAGGAGAUAUCAAACCCUCUAUCAUGUUCUUAGCUUGGUCCUUUUCUGCCAUCAAAGAGGCUAAUUCUCUCUGACCUGUUUGGCCACACAUCAUCUCGUCCAUUCUGAGAAAAGCAUGCCGAGUAGAAGUGUCUAUAUCCCCAGCUGAGUAUGCUUCAUGAUUAAGAACCUCUUGAUGAAGAAACUUGGCACAAAAUUUAGAAACUUCAUCCCCUCCAUGUCCAUCAUAAACACCAAAGAAGGAAGUGGAAGAGUCCAAAUUUGGAUGAACUGCAUGAGCAUCUUCCAUGGUUG
rnacentral:misc_RNA from 1 species